GCCGGCGUAGCUCAGAGGCAGAGCGAGGCACUCGUAAUGCCUAGGUCGUGGGUUCAAGUCCCACCGCCGGCU
rnacentral:tRNA from 1 species